rnacentral:rRNA from 1 species
GAUGAACGCUGGCGGCGUGCUUAACACAUGCAAGUCGAACGGAAAGGCCCAAGCUUGCUUGGGUACUCGAGUGGCGAACGGGUGAGUAACACGUGGGUGAUCUGCCCUGCACUUCGGGAUAAGCCUUGGAAACUGGGUCUAAUACCGGAUAGGACCACAUGUUGGAUGGUGUGGUGGAAAGUUUUUCGGUGUGGGAUGAGCUCGCGGCCUAUCAGCUUGUUGGUGGGGUAAUGGCCUACCAAAGCGUCGACGGGUAGCCGGCCUGAGAGGGGGUACGGCCACCCUUGGGACUGAGGGAGGGCCCAGCUGCGAACGGGGGGAAAAGGGGGGAAAACUGGACCAAGGGGGGCAGGCUGGGGGAGGAGGGUCGGGGGGGGGAUGACGGCCUUCGGGUUGUAAACUCCUUUCGCUAGGGAAGAAGCGUUUUUGUGACGGUACCUGGAGAAGAAGCAACGGCUAACUACGUG